UACGUAGGUGGCAAGCGUUGUUCGGAUUUACUGGGCGUAAAGGGCGCGUAGGCGGUCAGCACAAGUCAGUUGUGAAAUCUCCGGGCUUAACUCGGAAAGGUCAACUGAUACUGUGCGACUAGAGUGCAGAAGGGGCAACUGGAAUUCUCGGUGUAGCGGUGAAAUGCGUAGAUAUCGAGAGGAACACCUGCGGCGAAGGCGGGUUGCUGGGCUGAUACUGACGCUGAGGCGCGAAAGCCAGGGGAGCGAACGGG
rnacentral:rRNA from 1 species